UACGGAAAGCUGCGGCAAGUACGGAAAAGCUGAGAGCAGGCUUCCAGGAAAAGCUUCUAGCACAACACGCAUCGGCCCGUACCGAAAAUGGACACACAUGGGCAAGGAGAGAAUCCUGAGGUGAGCGAGAGAACUAUAGCUAAGGAACUCUGCAAAAUGACCCCGUAACUUAGGGAGAAGGGGUGCUCCAGAAAUGGAGCCGCAGUAAAACGGCCCAAGCGACUGUUUACCAAAAACACAGCUCUCUGCGAAGGCGCAAGCCGAAGUAUAGGGGGUGACGCCUGCCCGGUGCUGGAAGGUCAAGGGGAGCUGUCAGCGCAAGCGAAGCAGCGAGCCGAAGCCCCAGUAAACGGCGGCCGUAACAAUAACGGUCCUAAGGUAGCGAAAUUCCUUGUCGGGCAAGUUCCGACCCGCACGAAAGGCGUAACGAUUUGGGCGCUGUCUCAGCUGUAGACUCGGUGAAGUCUUAGUACCUGUGAAGAUGCAGGUUGCCCGCGACUAGACGGAAAGACCCCAUGGAGCUUCACUGCAGGUUGACAUUGGGCUUGGAUGCAUGAUGUACAGGAUAGGUGGGAGGCUGUGAGCCGUGCGCGCCAGCGUACGGGGAGCCGCUGUUGGGAUACCACCCUUCAUGCAUCUAGGUCCUAACCGGAGGCAACGGGCCACGGGACAGUGUCAGUCGGGCAGUUUGACUGGGGCGGUCGCCUCCCAAAGAGUAACGGAGGCGCCCAAAGAUACCCUCAGCAUGGAUGGAAACCAUGCAUAGAGUGCAAAGGCAUAAGGGUGUCUGACUGCGAGACAUACAGGUCGAGCAGGGACGAAAGUCGGGCUUAGUGAUCCGGCGGAUCCGAAUGGAAGGGCCGUCGCUCAACGGAUAAAAGCUACCCUGGGGAUAACAGGCUGAUCUCCCCCAAGAGUUCACAUCGACGGGGAGGUUUGGCACCUCGAUGUCGGCUCAUCGCAUCCUGGAGCUGAAGUCGGUUCCAAGGGUUGGGCUGUUCGCCCAUUAAAGCGGUACGCGAGCUGGGUUCAGAACGUCGUGAGACAGUUCGGUCCCUAUCUGUCGUGGGCGCAGGAGGUUUGAGGAGAGCUGCCCCUAGUACGAGAGGACCGGGGUGGACGGACCGAUGGUGCACCAGUUGUCACGCCAGUGGCACAGCUGGGCAGCCAAGUCCGGACGGGAUAAGCGCUGAAGGCAUCU
rnacentral:rRNA from 1 species